rnacentral:rRNA from 1 species
UUGGAAACGAGCAUGAACGGGUUAAUUGAUUAAAGUAGUUUGUUUUAUUUUUAAGUAAUCUAAAGAUAAAGUAAUAAUUCUUUAAUUAACUAAGGGACGAUAAGACCCUAAAAGCUUUAUAAAAGGGGUAGUUUUAGUGAAUAAAACUAAAUUUAAUUUACUGGGGCAGUAAAUUUAUUUAAAUUAAAUUUUUGUUAAAUGAUCCUUUAAAUAAAGAAUAUGUGAAAGAGUUACUUUAGGGAUAACAGUGCUAUAUAUUUGGAGAUAUUAAAUCUAUAAGUAUGUUUGCAACCUCGAUGUUGAAUUAGAAUAUCUAUGUGGGCAUAAUAUACAUGAGAAAGUUUGUUCAACUUUUGAAUUUCUACAUGAUCUGAGUUCAAACCGG